UCGUGCCGGCCAGCACGGAGCUCACAGCCCUCGGGACGCGGCUGGCCUUGCGUGUCAGGCCUCCGGGUGCUGGCAGUCACGCUGAGCUGCGCGCUGACGUGGCCGCGUCCUGACAUGGUUUCUUGUCCUUCCAGCGGAUGCUGUCUGAGCUGAGAGCACGGCAGGAGUGCUAUCAGACGCCGGACUGGGCACGGAAGAGCAUUGGUGCUACCAUCGACCUGCACAGAACUUCUCCUACCUACACAUUUAAGUGCUGGUUUUGCUGGCUCCACAGUUUCAUCGUCCCCGUGAAUCCUCCGGAUACCAUCCUGCAGGUAUCGUGGCGGCCAUCAGCAGCGCUGCUUGCACCCCUCGCUCCCCCUCGGGGGUCUCCCCUCAGGCCCGGCGCGUUGCUCAAGCCGUGAAGCCCAAGGUCCGAUACGGGGCCGGGCGUGCUGGAAAUCGGUGCUUCCCCUCACCUGAGCUGAAGCGCUGUGUGUGUGGGGCCCACGCUCCUCAGUCCCAGCCGGGUGAGAGAUCUCCUCCCCGCCGACACCGCAGUGCCACAGCCAUCCCAGCUGUCCCUCGGUGGGCAGAGCUGGGGGCCGGCGGAGCAGUGCUGGAGAGAGACGGUCCCACUGCGACGCUUUCCCAGCCGCCAUCUUCCCCUUGGCGGUGACACUGAGAGCCCCUUUGUCGGGCGGGGAAUUCAGGCCCAGUGCUUCUGCCCCAUUCCUCACACGUGAGCCACUCUCAAGCACAAGUACGGCCCGCAGACGCUUGCUGCCUUUGCCCUUAGCUGAACCAGGAGUGCGGUGGCCCCAGCGCUCUCUCCUGAUCCUCUGCUCUCCCAUUCUGUUUGCAGCCGGGCGAUUCACCAGGACAGUGCUGGCCCAUGGAGGGACAUCAGGGCCAGGUGGUCAUCGGGUUGCCAGCUGAAAUCCUGCCCUCUUGUGUCAUUCUGGAACACGUUGAGCCAGGGCUGACUCCAGCUGCCUCCCCCAGCAGUGCCCCGAAAGAAUUUGCUGUUUUUGUAAGUCACUGCUUUGCUCUUUUGCCUGGGAUCUGGGCACAGCACAGUGCCGGAGCAGGGACUGGCUUGCUUUUGGGCAUCCUCAGAGCCCUGUGUCCCGCCGCCUGCCGAGCACUGCAGUGCCCCAAGGGGAUGUUUCCUAAGCUGGAGAGCCGGCAUCCUUCUUAAGCCUUGCUCGGCAAGCAUCUCGGGCUUCCUGAGCAAACCUCGAGGCCGAGACUGAGCUCCAGCGGAAGCAGGGCCGGGCUGCUGCCCGAGCCCCGGGGCAGGGGGGUGGGCAGCCCCGUGCUGACACAGCGCACGGCUUUGCUCUUGGUGCACGAAUCUGAGCGUCCAUCCUUGUGCUUUGCUUGCAAGGGGCUGGAUGUGGACAGCGAAGAGGAGGUUCCGCUCGGGUCGUUCACCUUCGAUGUGCAGAAGGCAUUCUUAGACAUCUUCCUGCUCCAGGUAGGACAGGGGCAGCACGCCAGGGAGGACGCCUGCUCCCUGCCCCUCCCUGUGCUCCCACAGGCCUGCAACUGGAGCCCUCCAGCUGCACAGCCACGCUCCUCUCGCUGUCUGGAGCUGCUGAGCAACAGGAGCAACUGGCAGGGGCGAGCCGUGGAGCACAGGGUGGGAAUUGGAACCCCAGCAAUUUCUUUGUUC